AGAUCAGCCCUGGGGUUCAGAGGGAUCCUGACAGCUACUCCUCAAGAUCCUCUCUGUUGUGAUUCAUCCCCCCGGGGCCCUACAGUUUCUCCUUCCUGACUCUUACAUUUCUUUGGAUGGCAUCAUUAUUUACCUGUCUCCUCCCAUAGUUAGGUGCCAAGCACUGUGGAUUCUGCCUCUCAGUGUCCAGACACCCAUUUUCCUUCCCACUGUUCCUUCCCCAUGGAGAAGCCUGUGGCUGGCUGACAGCAGAGAGAGAUGCUCAACUUGGAGAAGGUGUUACCUGGGCCAGGUGGGGAAGGUUUGUUUGCAGAGCAAAGAAGUGAAGUAUUAACCCUUUGCAUGGCCUCCUGAGAAUCCGACAAGACGUAAAUAGCCAAGAAUAUCUGUGAAACUUCAUCACUGAGUUACAAUAUUUAUCACUGCAAGUGUGUUGUUCAUUGACACUAUAAAGCCAUGUGGAAUUAAGCAGCCUUGAAACACAAAAUGGAGAAAGGCUAAGAGCUGAGAAUUGUUGCCUUCAGGGAAAUACAAUCAAUGUCAAGCAAACAACCACCCCAAAAUGAUCCUCAUGUGACAGGUGACCUGCCAUAUAAUCAGAAGGAAGAAAUGUUACACAGAGAGGCUGAGAAGAAUCUGAGGACUUGCUAAGUUUUCCCCAGUUUAUUACCAUUAGAUCAUAUGCCUUUUUUGUUCAAUCAUACUUCUAUACAACUGUCCAUCAUUCAUUAAACCUAACCACAAAAGUAGUUUUCACUCGGUUUUUGAGUGAAGGCUCCUGUGUCACAUAAAACUUACAUUAAAUAAAUUUGUUCCAC
rnacentral:lncRNA from 1 species